UUUAUGCAAUGGGGGUGCCUUAACAUUAAGGGCUGAGAUUAUACCCACAGAACCUGAUCCGGGUAAUGCCGGCGAAGGGAGGGCAAAAGGGAUGCG
rnacentral:ncRNA from 1 species